AGGAGGAAUAGAAGAACAGUAAACGAAGAAGAAGGAGGAGGAGGAGGAGGAGGAAUAGAAGAACAGUAAACGAAGAAGGAGGAGGAGGAGGAGGAGAUAAAUCACAAUAACGAAAAUGAAAAAGAAAGAGAAAAUGAAGGAAAAAAAUAUGAAGAAAAUAAGAAAGAGAGAAAGAAAGGAAAAAGAGAAAGAACGGAAGAAGGGAACAGAAGGAAUGAACAAAAGAUGAAGGAAAGAAAGAGGAAUUAAGCAAAAAACAAAGGAAUAACGAAAGAGGGAAUAGAAGGAAAUGCAUGAAAGGCUCGCGAAGGAGAGAAAGAAAGAAAGAAAUUAAGGAAGAACGAAGGAGGGAAUAGAAGGAAAUGCAUAGAAGGAUCGUGAAGGAGAGAAAGAAAGAAAGAAAGAAAGCGAAGGAGGGAAUAGAAGGAACGCAUAAUAGGCGAAGGAGAGAAAGAAAGAAAGAAAUGAAGGAAGAACGAAGGAGGGAAUAGAAGGAAAAGGAUCGUGAAGGAGGGAAUAGAAGGAACGCUUAAAAGGCGAAGGAGAGAAAGAAAGGAAGGAAGGAAGGAAGAAACAGCGAAUAGAAGGAAUAGAUAUAAAAACCGUGAAGGGCUUACAACAAAAUCCUAAUCUCCAUUCCUGUCCAUACUCGUAAAACAUAUAUAUUUUACUAUUAAUAAAUGGUGUAAUAUUAAAUACUACUCUAUUUUUGUCCUUGUAAUAUUGUGCAAUUGUAAAAAUAAAUAUAUAUAAGCUA